rnacentral:rRNA from 1 species
CGUACACUCCUACGGGAGGCAGCAGUGGGGAAUAUUGGACAAUGGGCGCAAGCCUGAUCCAGCCAUGCCGCGUGAGUGAUGAAGGCCCUAGGGUUGUAAAGCUCUUUCACCGGUGAAGAUAAUGACGGUAACCGGAGAAGAAGCCCCGGCUAACUUCGUGCCAGCAGCCGCGGUAAUACGAAGGGGGCUAGCGUUGUUCGGAUUUACUGGGCGUAAAGCGCACGUAGGCGGACUAUUAAGUCAGGGGUGAAAUCCCGGGGCUCAACCCCGGAACUGCCUUUGAUACUGGUAGUCUUGAGUUCGGGAGAGGUGAGUGGAAUUCCGAGUGUAGAGGUGAAAUUCGUAGAUAUUCGGAGGAACACCAGUGGCGAAGGCGGCUCACUGGCUCGAUACUGACGCUGAGGUGCGAAAGCGUGGGGAGCAAACAGGAUUAGAAACCCUUGUAGUCCC